AUUGAACGCUGGCGGCAUGCUUUACACAUGCAAGUCGAACGGCAGCGCGGGCUUCGGCCUGGCGGCGAGUGGCGAACGGGUGAGUAAUACAUCGGAACGUGCCCAGUAGUGGGGGAUAGCUCGGCGAAAGCCGGAUUAAUACCGCAUACGACCUGAGGGUGAAAGCGGGGGAUCUUCGGACCUCGCGCUAUUGGAGCGGCCGAUGGCAGAUUAGCUAGUUGGUGGGGUAAAGGCCUACCAAGGCGACGAUCUGUAGCUGGUCUGAGAGGACGACCAGCCACACGGGGGCUGAGACACGGCCCAGACUCCUACGGGAGGCAGCAGUGGGGAAUUUUGGACAAUGGGCGAAAGCCUGAUCCAGCAAUGCCGCGUGUGUGAUGAAGGCCUUCGGGUUGUAAAGCACUUUUGGCGGGAACGAAAAGGACUGUGCCAAUACCACGGUUCGAUGACGGUACCCGCAGAAUAAGCACCGGCUAACUACGUG
rnacentral:rRNA from 1 species